CCUACGGGGGGCAGCAGUCGAGAAUCAUUCACAAUGGGGGAAACCCUGAUGGGGCGACGCCGCGUGGGGGAAGGAAGGUCUACGGAUUGUAAACCCCUGUCAUGUGGGAGCAAAUUAAAAAGAUAGUACCACAAGAGGAAGAGACGGCUAACUCUGUGCCAGCAGCCGCGGUAAUACAGAGGUCUCAAGCGUUGUGCGGAAUCACUGGGCGUAAAGCGUGCGUAGGCUGUUUAGUAAGUCGUGUGUGAAAGGCGCGGGCUCAACCCGCGGACGGCACAUGAUACUGCGAGACUAGAGUAAUGGAGGGGGAACCGGAAUUCGCGGUGUAGCAGUGAAAUGCGUAGAUAUCGCGAGGAACACUCGUGGCGAAGGCAGGUUCCUAGACAUUAACUGACGUUGAGGCACGAAGGCCAGGGGAGCGAAAAGGAUUAGAUACCCUGGUAGUC
rnacentral:rRNA from 1 species